UAAUUCAUGCGUAGUUUCUUCCAUUGAAUGGGAUACGAGACUUGGUUUUACUGUAUGUAUUCAAAUAUGAAUUUGAUUAGAUGAUCUGAUGACUUAAAAAUCUUUUGGUAUGGAGAUGUUUUUGCUGGACCACUCAUGGGUGGUAGGAGAGAAGCUCCAUACCUUAUGCUUGCUUAUGUUGUAAAAUAUCUUGCCCUGUGGUUGAGAGAAAUGCCAAAAAGUUCUUAUGAGAGUGAUUGUACUUUGCAGGAGGUCUCAAAACCUUUGACAGCUUUCAAGUCAUUUGACAACCCAAACCGGCUUCAGAUUAUUCGCGUACCUGUCCGCAGCAAGAGUCUGCUGUCAUCUUUCUUCGUAAAACAGAAGAAGACAAAACUGAAGACCAUCUCAUGAAUCCUCACUCAAUGAAGCAAGUCGACUAUACCAUUCAGCAAACCACCCACAUUGUGUGGGUGUAACAGCCUAUGCUUGUUGGUGAUCACUUGAUUCAUCCAUUAAUUGCUUAUAUAUCUCCAAACCUUUCGUUUGGUGAUCGAUAACAAGAAGUGCAUCAUCGUCUUGGUUCGGAUCAGUGUUAUGUUGUAUUCUGUCUUGUAUGUAGGUAUAGUUAACUAACUAGCAGUCCUGUUGUGAAGAUGGUUUAUAUUGAUCAAGCUUUGAUGGUUAACUCUAAUUUCUAUUUCUUGUCCUAAUUAUCUGGGAUUUCAGAUCUGGAAAUUUACUUACUGUUUUCUUUGGAAAAUUAGAGCAGGUCAAGAAUAAUAAUAUUCCUACUUGGUUAAUGCUAAAUAAUAAUAUUUGCUUGAUGUUAGUGCGGCUUAUAUUAUUGAUCAAUUGUAUUUCAUAUUUGAAGACCAUAUCAGAAAAAUCAGGUCCAAAGGACUCAACAGCAACUGGCUGAACUAGAGCGCAAGAAAGCUGAUAUUAAAAGAAAUGCAGCUCUUUCAACAGCUAAAUUUGCAGAGGCUUGUCAAGAGCCAGGAUUGCAGCUAAACAUUUUUAGGUUGUCUUGCUGGAGUGGACAGAUGAUUUGGAGCUGUUCAUAUUAAAGGGUUAUGGUAAUGCAUUAAACUACCAGAUGGGAGUGCCAUUGCUUGAGGAUGUUGUUCAGUCCAUGGAACAAGCUAUUAUGGCUAAAGAAGCCAAAGUAAAUUUAUUGAAAAUUGUCAAGCAAAGAGACAUUGAUUAUCAACAAAAGCAGGAGCCCAGCAAAGCUCACAACAGGGCAAUAAGGUUGGAAAGUUAUCAACCAAGCAGCCCACUAGACAGAAGCAUCCCACCUGCACAGAGACUCAGAGACAGCAACUGACAAAACCCCAAGCAAAUUGCAAGUCUGUUUAAAUGGACCUCCAACGUUGGAUCAUGAAC